rnacentral:rRNA from 1 species
AUGAGAGCCCAACAUACGUUAGACCCAGCAGCUCACCAAACAAAAAGAAAGAAAGAACAACCUCUAAACUCAAGGAGUACAAAGCGGACAAAGACUGCAGAGGGAAGAAGAAACGCGAACACAGAGGCUCCUAAACGAUUUAGAAAGUCUAAUGCUGAAGAAGAAGAUAGGGAAUUGAAGCAUGCCAGAAGCGAAACCAACAAAAACAACACUAGAGUCAAUGUUGGAGACAACAACAGUACCAGAACCUCGACAAGUGCUAAUAGCAAGCCAUGGAACUUCGGAAGGCCAACAUACAAAUGCCAAUAUUGCAAAGCAUUGCUGUGGUGCGAAGAAAGAUUAAAUUCAAACAAAGGAACUACGACACCCUCUUUUGGAAUAUGCUGCAAAGAAGGGAAAAUUGAUCUGCGGCCACUAAGAGAACCUCCACCAUACCUUAGAAACCUCUUAAGAAGUGAAGGGCAGGAUUCGGUAAACUUCAAAGAAAAUAUAAGGUCAUACAACUCAAUGUUUUCAUUCACAUCGAUAGGAGGAGCUGUGGACAAGGAAAUAAACACUCGCAAAGGACCUUAA